ACACCUUCUCUCUCCCACAAAUUCAUUAAAAUUAAAAAUUUCCAAAAUUUGUAACUCUUUUCUUCGACCUCUGCCACACAUUCUCUCCCCCACGAAUUCAUUAAAAUAAAAAAUUUCCAAAAUUUGAAACUCUCUUCUUCAACCUCUGCCGAGGAAAUUUCUUCGACAAUAAGAAACUUCUCCAACAAUCUGGGUAAAUUUCUUCUAUUUCCCCUCCCCCCCCCAAAAAAAAACACGAUAGGUUUGGAAAAUUUCCCUAACAAUGUCGGUGAAGUCCUCACAGGCCGCCGCCGCAGCAACAAUAGCUCAAAAACCACAGAGGCAGAAGCAACACGCAAUCGAGCCACACGAAAAAAUGAAUUGCACGUUGAAGCUCGCCGCCGCGGAUCUUCAGCAGGGGGUAUGUGGACAGAAGUCUUAGAGUCAGAAGAUUAAUUUGUCAUCGCUCCGCCGUGCGCUCUUUCAACCUGAUUUAUUUGCUUCGGUUUAGAUUUUAGAGUAAUUAAUUGCAAAUACUGAUGUGUUUGGAUUUAAGUGAUUGAUAUUCUAUUUUGUAGUCAAACUGUUUUAGGCGUAAAGAAAAAAAUAAGAAGACUUGAUAUAAGAAGAUUUAAGUAAUUGAUGUUGGUGGAAUUCGCAGCAGGAAGAAAAAUUGGCGGUGACACCGCGUAUAGAGUUGGCGAAGAUGAGCGUGGAGUACCUGAGGAAGUUGAAAGAGUAGGUCAAUCUACUCCAAAACAGUCUCACCAACAUCCGCUCCGCCAAUGCCCGCNNNNN
rnacentral:lncRNA from 1 species